AAUAAUUCUUUAAUUAACAUAGUCAUCUAAUUAUUCAAAAGUCAUGACAAAAUUCUUGUGUUCGUAUCUGGUCAUCUCCAUGUUUGUUCUCUCAGCCUUUUUGGCUUUGCCAAAUGCACAGAAAAUAUGCAGGGUGAAUCCGAACCUUAGGAAGGCAUGCAGUUUUCAAGAAUGCACACCGCCUUUGUCUUCAAAAGUACAACAUGGAUGGCAUUUGUAUCGGAAAUAACAAGAAUAUUUGCACUUGCAUUUACAAUUGUUAAAUUAGAAUGUUGCUAAACUAGACCCAAAAUCUUAUUAUAUGGGGCGUUAAUGACCUUAACUCCAUGUAUUUGGAGGAUAUGGUCAUAUCAUAUUUGAAUAAACGUUUUUUAUAUAGUAUAU